rnacentral:rRNA from 1 species
UACAGAGACUGCAAGCGUUAUUCGGAUUCACUGGGCGUAAAGGGUGCGCAGGCGGCCAAGUGUGUGAGGCGUGAAAGCCCGGGGCUUAACCCCGGAAUUGCAUCUCAAACUACAUGGCUAGAGCAUUGGAGAGGGUAGCAGAAUUCAUGGUGUAGCAGUGAAAUGCGUAGAUAUCAUGAGGAAUACCAGAGGCGAAGGCGGCUACCUGGACAAUUGCUGACGCUCAGGCACGAAAGCGUGGGGAGCAAAAGGG